rnacentral:rRNA from 1 species
GACGAAGGGGGCUAGCGUUGUUCGGAAUUACUGGGCGUAAAGCGCGUGUAGGCGGUUGUUCAAGUCAGGUGUGAAAGCCUUGAGCUCAACUCAAGAAAUGCACUUGAUACUGGAUGACUAGAGGACCGGAGAGGAUAGUGGAGUUCCCAGUGUAGUGGUGAAAUACGUAGAGAUUGGGAAGAACACCAGUGGCGAAGGCGGCUAUCUGGACGGUUUCUGACGCUAAGACGCGAAAGCGUGGGGAGCAAACAGG